rnacentral:tRNA from 1 species
GGGGUUGUAGCUCAGUGGUAGAGCACUCACCUAGAGCGAAUGAGUCCCUGGGUUUGAUCCUCAGCACCACUU